rnacentral:tRNA from 1 species
UAAGAAAUUAGUUAAAUAAUUAUAACAUAAGCUUGUCAUGCUUAAAUUAUCUUUUUAAGAUAUUUCUUA